AUUGAACGCUGGCGGCAUGCCUUACACAUGCAAGUCGAACGGUAACAGGUCUUCGGAUGCUGACGAGUGGCGAACGGGUGAGUAAUACAUCGGAACGUGCCCGAUCGUGGGGGAUAACGGAGCGAAAGCUUUGCUAAUACCGCAUACGAUCUACGGAUGAAAGCAGGGGACCGCAAGGGCUUGCGCGGACGGAGCGGCCGAUGGCAGAUUAGGUAGUUGGUGGGAUAAAAGCUUACCAAGCCGACGAUCUGUAGCUGGUCUGAGAGGACGACCAGCCACACUGGGACUGAGACACGGCCCAGACUCCUACGGGAGGCAGCAGUGGGGAAUUUUGGACAAUGGGCGAAAGCCUGAUCCAGCCAUGCCGCGUGCAGGAUGAAGGCCUUCGGGUUGUAAACUGCUUUUGUACGGAACGAAAAGACUCUUUCUAAUAAAGAGGGUCCAUGACGGUACCGUAAGAAUAAGCACCGGCUAACUACGUG
rnacentral:rRNA from 1 species